AUAGAAAUAGAACACAGAACAGAGCUACCGCUUCCAAAGUCCCGUUUCCACUGGCACUUGAAAUUUGGGGCAGAUUCGACCUGGGUCGAGGGAAACAGGGGCCAGAGCAGCCCAGUUUCACAACUGGCGCCAGCUCAAUUCGAAUUCGGGUUGGUGACGCCAAUUACUAUGCAACCACCAAGUGGAUCACUGCUGGAUGCGGGUUGAUACCCUAUUUCAUGGACCCAAGAUCCAUAGGUAAGGCUGUAGGCUACAUUGCAAUAUGAGUGACCAAUACGCACAAUAGACUGACUGGGGGGCGCUAAUAUUUGUGUGAACUCUUCACAGUUGUGUUCUGUGGGUGUCACUGAGUAGGCUGAUACCCCAUUACAUGGACCCAAGAUGAUCAUCCAUAGGACCUGAGUCCUAGGACCAAGCCUCAGGACUACCUGGCCUGAUGACUCC